rnacentral:lncRNA from 1 species
GGCGCCCACCGUAAGCCUCCCGGGCCUUGUGAACCUGCAAACCCAAGUCUGAGAGACGAUCCGCCUUCAGCGCUUUCCAGCUUGGCAGAGAGGCUUUCCCGGCGGGGAUCUUUGGUUGGCGCUGGCGAUGCGCGGGGAAGAAAGGCGAGGAGCGGCGUCCAGGCUGGGUGAUGUCCCAGCACGAGUAGGCGGGAUGCGCUCGCUUGGUCCUCCGGGCGCCCGGUCCCUGCCCGCGUCGCGCGCCCACCCCUGGGGACGAGAAGGCGGCCGCCUGAGGACCCCCGCCCGCGACCUCCGCGAGUCUGGAGCGCAGAGGACAGGGUCUGGCUGCUCUUUGGCCUUGGAUGGAAAGUGGGGAAUUGGGUGGGGGGCUGCGGACCCCUUAACGUGGAUUACUUGGUGUGUAUCAGCUGGGCUCAGAAGACCCACGACCUCUUCUCCAUCCGUGGAUUGAUUUGUUCUGCUUAACAGCUGGGUCGCCAAGCUGGAGACCAGACUUCUUUAGGGGAUCCAGGACUAAGCCGAGGAAGGUGUUUCUGAACCUCAGGGAAUCUGUGGCCACUGGCAAGCCAGCGGAAAAUUCAGGUGGAAUCAGAGGUUUCUGGCUGACUCGGUGG